rnacentral:rRNA from 1 species
UGGCGGCGUGCCUUACACAUGCAAGUCGUACGAGAACUCUUUAAGCUUGCUUAGAGAUAGUAAAGUGGCGCACGGGUGAGUAACGCGUGGGUAAUCUAUCUUUGAAUUGGGGAUAACCCCGCGAAAGCGGGGCUAAUACCGAAUAAUAUCCCGAGAACUUAGGUUUUUGGGAUCAAAGGUGGCCUCUACAUGUAAGCUACUGUUUAGAGAUGAGCCCGCGUACCAUUAGCUUGUUGGUAGGGUAAUGGCCUACCAAGGCAACGAUGGUUAGCUGGUCUGAGAGGAUGAUCAGCCACACUGGAACUGACACACGGUCCAGACUCCUACGGGAGGCAGCAGUGAGGAAUUUUGCGCAAUGGGGGAAACCCUGACGCAGCAACGCCGCGUGAGUGAUGAAGGCUUUCGGGUCGUAAAGCUCUGUCGAGUGGGAAGAACAAAAAAGGUUGUAAUACACCUUUUUCUGACGGUACCACUAAAGGAAGCACCGGCUAACUCCGUGCCAGCAGCCGCGGUAAUACGAAGGGC